rnacentral:rRNA from 1 species
UACGUAGGGUCCAAGCGUUGUUCGGAUUUACUGGGCGUAAAGGGCGCGUAGGCGGCGUGGUAAGUCAGCUGUGAAAUCUCCGGGCUUAACUCGGAACGGUCAGCUGAUACUGCUGUGCUAGAGUACAGAAGGGGCAAUCGGAAUUCUUGGUGUAGCGGUGAAAUGCGUAGAUAUCAAGAGGAACACCUGAGGUGAAGACGGGUUGCUGGGCUGAUACUGACGCUGAGGCGCGAAAGCCAGGGGAGCAAACGGG